rnacentral:rRNA from 1 species
UACGGGAGGCAGCAGUGGGGAAUAUUGCACAAUGGGCGCAAGCCUGAUGCAGCCAUGCCGCGUGUAUGAAGAAGGCCUUCGGGUUGUAAAGUACUUUCAGUCGUGAGGAAGGUGUUAAGGUUAAUAACCUUAGCAAUUGACGUUAGCGACAGAAGAAGCACCGGCUAACUCCGUGCCAGCAGCCGCGGUAAUACGGAGGGUGCGAGCGUUAAUCGGAAUUACUGGGCGUAAAGGGCACGCAGGCGGUUAAUUAAGUUGGAUGUGAAAUCCCCGGGCUUAACCUGGGAAUGGCAUUCAAGACUGGUUAGCUAGAGUCUUGUAGAGGGGGUAGAAUUCCAUGUGUAGCGGUGAAAUGCGUAGAGAUGUGGAGGAAAUACCGGUGGCGAAAGGCGGCCCCUGGACAAAGACUGACGCUCAUGUGCGAAAGCGUGGGGAGCAAACAGGGAUUAGAUACC